rnacentral:rRNA from 1 species
AACAUAACCUUUAGCCAAACAAAUAUUAAAGGCAACGCCUGCCCAGUGAACAAUUAAACGGCCGCGGUACCCUAACCGUGCAAAGGUAGCGUAAUCAUUUGUCUAUUAAUUGUAGACCAGUAUGAAAGGCAUAAUGAGGGCCUAUCUGUCUCUUAUAAUAAAUCAAUUAAACUGAUCUUCUAGUAAAAAAGCUAGAAUACCCACACAAGACCAGAAGACCCUGUGAAGCUUAAACUAAACUAUUAAACCCUGUAAUACUUACUUUCGGUUGGGGCGACCUUGGAAAAUAAAAGAACUUCCAAAUAUAUGACUAUAACUCACACAAGGCCCACAAGCCUCGCAUGACCCAGUAUAACUGAUAAUUGAACCAAGUUACUCCAGGGAUAACAGCGCCAUCUUCUUCAAGAGUCCAUAUCAAAAAGAAGGUUUACGACCUCGAUGUUGGAUCAGGACAUCCUAAUGGUGCAGCCGCUAUUAAGGGUUCGUUUGUUCAACGAUUAAUAGUCCUACGUGAUCU